rnacentral:rRNA from 1 species
UACGUAGGGGGCUAGCGUUGUCCGGAAUCAUUGGGCGUAAAGCGCGUGUAGGCGGUCCGGUAAGUCCGCUGUGAAAGUCGGGGGCUCAACCCGUCGAAUGCCGGUGGAUACUGUCGGGCUAGAGUGCGGAAGGGGCUACUGGAAUUCGUCGGUGUAGCGGUGAAAUGCGUAGAUAUCGAGAGGAACACCUGCGGCGAAGGCGGGUAGCUGGGCCGACACGUGACGCUGAUGCGCGAAAGCCAGGGGAGCGAACGGG